rnacentral:rRNA from 1 species
UACGUAGGGGUGCAAGCGUUGUCCGGAAUUAUUGGGCGUAAAGAGCUCGUAGGUGGCCUGUCGCGUCGGCUGUGAAAACCCGCAGCUCAACUGUGGGCUUGCAGCUGAUACGGGCAGGCUUGAGUUCGGUAGGGGAGGACUGGAAUUCCUGGUGUAGCGGUAGAAAUGCGCAGAUAUCAAGGAGGAACACCGGUGGCGAAGGCGGGUCUCUGGGCCGUAACUGACGCUGGAGGAGCGAAAGCGUGGGGAGCGAA